GCACCAGUAGUGUAGUGGUAUCAUACAAGAUUCCCAUUCUUGUGACCGGGUUCGAUUCCUCCUGCUGGUGCA
rnacentral:tRNA from 1 species